GUGAGGUAACGGCCCACCAAGGCUUUGACGGGUAGCCGGCCUGAGAGGGUGACCGGCCACACUGGGACUGAGACACGGCCCAGACUCCUACGGGAGGCAGCAGUGGGGAAUAUUGCGCAAUGGGCGAAAGCCUGACGCAGCGACGCCGCGUGAGGGAUGAAGGCCUUCGGGUUGUAAACCUCUUUCAGCAGGGACGAAGCGAAAGUGACGGUACCUGCAGAAGAAGCACCGGCCAACUACGUGCCAGCAGCCGCGGUAAUACGUAGGGUGCAAGCGUUGUCCGGAAUUAUUGGGCGUAAAGAGCUCGUAAGCGGUCUGUCACGUCCACUGUGAAAUCCCGAGGCUCAACCUCGGGCCUGCAUUCCAUACGGGCAGACUAUAGUUCGGUAGGGGAAACUGGAAUUCCUGGUGUAACGGUGAAAUGCGCAAAUAUCAGGAAGAACACCGGUGGCGAAAGGGGGUCUCUGGGCAGUAACUGACGCUGAAGAACCAAAGCGUGGGUAACGAACAGGAUUAAAUACCCUGGUAAUCCACGCCGUAAACGGUGGGCGCUAGGUGUGGGUUCCUUCUACGG
rnacentral:rRNA from 1 species